rnacentral:rRNA from 1 species
AUUGAACGCUGGCGGCAGGCCUAACACAUGCAAGUCGAACGAGUGGCGGACGGGUGAGUAAUGUCUGGGAAACUGCCCGAUGGAGGGGGAUAACUACUGGAAACGGUAGCUAAUACCGCAUACCAUCGGAUGUGCCCAGAUGGGGUUAGCUUGUAGGUGAGGUAACGGCUCACCUAGGCGACGAUCCCUAGCUGGUCUGAGAGGAUGACCAGCUACAGUGGAAUGGAGCAACGGUCCAGACUCCUACGGGAGGCAGCAGUGGGGAAUAUUGCACAAUGGGAGCAAGCCUGAUGCAGCCAUGCCGCGUGUAUGAAGAAGGCCUUCGUGGUGGAAAGUACUUUCGGCGGGGAGGCGUUACCAGCAGAAGAAGCACCGGCUAACUCCGUGCCAGCCGCCGCGGUAAUAC